rnacentral:miRNA from 1 species
AAUGAGAGUGAAGAUGAAAUUGAGAAGGAGGAGUAACAAAAAUAAAAACAAAAAAUUGAAAUAUAUUUGAAAUUGUUUUCAAUUUUGUUACUCCUCCCUCCCAUCCUCCCCUCUCAUCAUCUUUC